UACGAAGGGGGCUAGCGUUGCUCGGAAUCACUGGGCGUAAAGCGCACGUAGGCGGCUUUUUAAGCCAGGGGUGAAAUCCUGGAGCUCAACUCCAGAACUGCCUUUGAUACUGGGAAGCUUGAGUCCGGAAGAGGUGAGUGGAACUCCGAGUGUAGAGGUGAAAUUCGUAGAUAUUCGGAAGAACACCAGUGGCGAAGGCGGCUCACUGGUCCGGUACUGACGCUGAGGUGCGAAAGCGUGGGGAGCAAACAGG
rnacentral:rRNA from 1 species